GCAUUAGAGUCAGCAGCUAAAUUACCUGUAAGAAUUCUGCUAACUACUAUUGAAACCAUCAAUCGGUUCAAUCAACUAGAGCCAACUUCGUUUUUAAAGCUUCCUUUCUGUAUUACACCUAGGCAGUGGAACAACAAUGAGACUAGUGCUAUCUUGUGCAACAUACAAUAUUCAGGUAUAACAUUUAUUUCUCUGAACUGGAAGCUACUAUCUUGACGUAGUGGGAAGCUCAGCCACCUUAAAAGCCUGAGAAAUCCCGUGAACCAUGAACUUCUUUGAUGAUAAGAUUUCCGGUACUGCAAUCUCCACGCCAUUAAUGGCUAAUACUUUUGUGAUAUUGAAAUCUCCAGUUAUCUCAAGUUCUUGAUUAGGAAGCAGUGUCCUUAACAUUGUUUUACCAGGCAAUAAUGCAAGUUGUGAAAACGUAACCCUUUGAGGCAGAAUGUGAAGCCUCACAAUCUUGUCAAGCAUUGGCGAGGGAGAUGCUACAAACGCUAAUUCUGGAGGAGCAAAGAUUGUUACAGAAUUCAAGCCCCUGUAAUCUUCAAGAAUCCCAGCAAGAACAGAGUUCAAUCCAAUUGCAAAAGACACAAAACCGUUAGAGCUUAGCAAACGGACUAUUCUGGUCCAUUCAACCAGGUUCUUGGUGUCGCUGACAUCCAAAACUAAACUAGAAUUGGCAUCACAAAUUGGAGCUCGAAUAGAAUCCCAGAUCUUGCCAAAAUCUUGAGAACCCAGUGAGGAAAAAGGUCCAAGAACGCCAUGAAUUGCAACAUUUCCUUCAAUAAAUAUGUCAGGGUGUGAAACCAAGACAUGAUUGAUCUCUACCAGUCUUUCUUUUGCCCCAACCUUUGUAACAGCAACAUUCUUUGGACGAAGAAGGGUAGGGAAGCAGCUACCCUGAGGUUUCUUUAACAGAUCAUCCAUUGUAAAAAUCAAUGGGGAGGUAUGGUAUUGGAGAAGAUGUUUCAAGAACCAUGGAGAA
rnacentral:misc_RNA from 1 species